rnacentral:rRNA from 1 species
UACGUAGGGUGCGAGCGUUGUCCGGAAUUAUUGGGCGUAAAGGGCUCGUAGGCGGUUUGUCGCGUCGGGAGUGAAAACCAGGUGCUUAACACCUGGCUUGCUUUCGAUACGGGCAGACUAGAGUGUGGUAGGGGAGACUGGAAUUCCUGGUGUAGCGGUGAAAGUGCGCAGAUAUCAGGAGGAACACCGAUGGCGAAGGCGGCCAACUGGACCAUUACUGACGCUGAGGCGCGAAAGCGUGGGGAGCAAACAGG